rnacentral:rRNA from 1 species
CUGGCAAGUUACCUAUCCGCUGCCCAAUGUGAAUUCAUAAAUGGCCACAUAAAGCUAAGGUAGCAUAAUAAAUUUUAAGUUAAUUACUUAAUAGAAUGAAAGCGGAGACUAGAGGUCAAACCUUUAAGCCGCAUUUUUGAAAUUGAAGGUAAAGUGAAAUUUCUUUACUUUUGCGCAUAGAAGAGAAGACCCUAAAACUUUGUUAAACAUAAUCAAAGCACCUUUAAAGUUUAAUUGGGGUAAUUACAUAAACAAAUAAACGAAUAACUCUAAGAAAAGAGCCUUAAGGAUUUAAUGUAGAAAGUACUUUAGGGAUAACAGCGCCGCGGCUAAAAAAGCUCUCAUUAAAAAAGCCAACAGCGACAUCGAUGUUGAAUUAAGAAAUAAGCGCAGAAGCUAAUAAGUCUGUUCGACUUAAACUUCUU